AAUCAACGCUGGCGGCGUGCCUAACACAUGCAAGUCGAACGCGAAAGCCCCGCAAGGGGUAAGUAGAGUGGCCAACGGGUGAGUAACACGUGGGUGACCUGCCUUCGAGUGGGGGAUAACGUCCCGAAAGGGACGCUAAUACCGCAUGACAUCCUGCUUUUGAAAAAGCGGAGAUCAAAGCUGGGGAUCGCAAGACCUAGCGCUUGAAGAGGGGCCCGCGCCUGAUUAGCUAGUUGGUGAGGUAACGGCUCACCAAGGCGACGAUCAGUAUCCGGCCUGAGAGGGCGGACGGACCCACUGGGACUGCGACACGGCCCAGACUCCUACGGGAGGCAGCAGUGGGGAAUUGUUCGCAAUGGGCGCAAGCCUGACGACGCAACGCCGCGUGGAGGACGAAGAUCUUCGGGUCGUAAACUCCUGUCGAGCGGGACGAACGCUUCGCGGAUGAAUAAGCCGCGGAAUUGACGGUACCGCUAAAGGAAGCCCCGGCUAACUCCGUG
rnacentral:rRNA from 1 species